rnacentral:lncRNA from 1 species
GUGGGAGGGAGAAACUCUCAAAUUUCUUUUUUUUUUUUUUUUUUUUUGCUUUUAAAAUUGUAACAUAGUUGACAGAUUUUUUUUUUUUUUUUUUUUUUUCUUUUUUCCUGUUCUCAUUGAUCGGAGCAUCUUGUACAGGUUUUUUUGGUGUUUGUGCCUGCCGGUGUGAGUUCCUCUGUUUUUUGAUACAUUCCUAUCCCUUGUGUUUAUCCUACCAUUGCCUUCCUGGCUAUCUUAAAACAAGUUCAUGCGUUUGAAAAGAGAAAAAAAAAAAAUGUUGUUUUAAACAAUGUUUUCUCCUGCUGCAGUAAAUAUUUUGCAUGAUGAAAUUCCAGGGUCACACUUUCAAAGUUUAUCAGUGAAGUAGUGAUUAAUCUUGGGGAGUGUCAAAGCUAUUGAACUUUUUGUAUAAAAACAAGAAAAAAAGAAAGAAAACUUUACAAGGUGCCAAGAUGUACAGACAAUUCGUUGCUUUUUUUUUUUUUCCCCAAAGAAAAGCGUACCUUAGGGAGAACGGUCCCUUGUACCGGGCAAAUGCACUGUCAGGAAUGAGGAUCCAUCCUACUUGUUGUCCCUAGAGUCUGUCCUUGUAAGACAAGUUAACGCUGCCUGCAUUGAACCAGCAGUGAAAGGAAACAUCAAGGCUUAUGAACGGGAAGAGUGACCGCCAGCCCUGCCACCUUCGGACGGCUCUGACCUGAUUACCCGCGUUCCGUCAGACCUAGUAAAGACACCUCGGAUUCUUCACCCAAAAUAGGAUGUCCAUCACUAGCUAUUUUAUCCCGGAAAAAAAAAAAAAAAGUUAAAGAUUUCCUCUCCUUUCCGCAUUCCAGCUUGAGCUCCGUUUCCAAGGGUACCAAGAAGAACAUGCUUGUCGGGAUUUUGAAUCUUUGGGGGACCUUUUGGUUCAUGGUAGACCCUCUGGAUAUUUUGGAUGUUUCUGAGAGUCGGUUUUGGCUUUUCUCUCCUGAGAAAUGAGACUUAGAAUUCCAAAGGCAUUUUGUGGGCCCGGUGUAGUUCUCAUGAUCUCUGCUACCCAGAAGCCUGCAUGGAGAUGGUACAGCCCGGACUGUCAGCGUGGUGCUCCGUGGAGAUGUGCUGCCAGUAACAAGAAUUUUUUUUUUUUUUAAUUUCGUUUUGUUUUGAUAAGGCAUAAAAGGAACUCAUUCCGUGACAUCAACUGUAAUUCCAUCAUUCUGUGUCUGUGGAUACAGACAAUAAAAAAAAAAAAAAAAUGUUGUGUAGUCAGUACUAAUGACUGACAUGAUCGCAUUCUCAAAUGCAAUAAAAAUGCUGGUUGUUCACACUGGU